UACGUAGGGGGCAAGCGUUGUCCGGAAUCAUUGGGCGUAAAGAGCGUGUAGGCGGUCCGGUCAGUCGGUUGUGAAAGUCAAGGGCUCAACCCUUGAAUGCCGGCCGAUACUGCCGGGCUAGAGUCCGGAAGAGGUGAAUGGAAUUCCUGGUGUAGCGGUGAAAUGCGCAGAUAUCAGGAGGAACACCGAUGGCGAAGGCAGCUCACUGGGACGGUACUGACGCUGAGACGCGAAAGCGUGGGGAGCAAACAGG
rnacentral:rRNA from 1 species